rnacentral:rRNA from 1 species
UACGGGGGGGGCAAGCGUUGUUCGGAAUUACUGGGCGUAAAGGGCGCGUAGGCGGUCCGCUAAGUUGGAUGUGAAAACUCUGGGCUUAACCCAGAGCCUGCAUUCAAAACUGACGGGCUAGAGUUCUGGAGGGGGUAGCGGAAUUCCUGGUGUAGCGGUGAAAUGCGUAGAUAUCAGGAGGAACACCAGUGGCGAAGGCGGCUCUCUGGACCGGUUCUGACGCUCAGGCGCGAAAGCGUGGGGAGCGAUCCGG